rnacentral:rRNA from 1 species
UACGUAGGGGGCUAGCGUUGUCCGGAAUCAUUGGGCGUAAAGCGCGUGUAGGCGGCCCGAUAAGUCCGCUGUGAAAGUCGGGGGCUCAACCCUCGGAUGCCGGUGGAUACUGUCGGGCUUGAGUACGGAAGAGGCGAGUGGAAUUCCUGGUGUAGCGGUGAAAUGCGCAGAUAUCAGGAGGAACACCAAUGGCGAAGGCAGCUCGCUGGGACGUGACUGACGCUGAGACGCGAAAGCGUGGGGAGCAAACAGG